ACGUAGGGGGCAAGCGUUAUCCGGAAUUACUGGGCGUAAAGAGCGCGUAGGCGGAUUUAUAAGCGUGAAGUGAAAGGCGAUAGCUUAACUAUAGUAAGCCUUGAGAACUGGAAGACUUGAGUGAAGGAGAGGAAAGUGGAAUUCCUAGUGUAGCGGUGAAAUGCGUAGAUAUCAGGAGGAACACCAGUGGCGAAGGCGACUUUCUGGAAUAUAACUGACGCUGAGGCGCGAAAGCGUGGGGAGCAAACAG
rnacentral:rRNA from 1 species